GAUGAACGCUGGCGGCGUGCCUAAUACAUGCAAGUCGAGCGCAGCGGGGACGGGGGAGUAACACGUAGAUAACCUCCUAUAAGACUGGGAUAACUUAGGGAAACCGGGGCUAAACUGGAUACUUAUAGCUGGCUCCGAGCUGCAUGAGCUAGUUGGUAAGGUAACGGCUUACCAAGGCAACGAUGCAUAGCCGACCUGCGAGGGUGAUCUGCCACACUGGAACUGAGACACGGACCAGACUCCUACGGGAGGCAGCAGUAGGGAAUCUGCCGCAAUGGGCGAAAGCCUGACGGAGCAACGCCGCGUGAGUGAUGAAGGUCUUCGUAUCGUAAAACUCUGUUAUUAGGGAAGCGGUACCUAAUCAGAAAGCCACGGCUAACUACGUGCCAGCAGCCGCGGUAAUUG
rnacentral:rRNA from 1 species